UCGGAUUGUAGGCUGAAACUACGCCUACAUGAAGCUGGAAUUGCUAGUAAUGGCAGGUCAGCAUACUGCCGUGAAUACGUUCCCGGGCCUUGUACACACCGCCCGUCACACCAUGAGAGUUGGGAAUACCCGAAGCCUGUGAGCUAACUUUUAGAGGCAGCAGUCGAAGGUAGAAUCAAUGAUUGGGGUGAAGUCGUAACAAGGUACC
rnacentral:rRNA from 1 species